UUUGGCUCCCGGAGUUCUCUUAUUUUCUUCCAAGCUCAGGGCCCACCUGGAUAACAUAUCUCUCGGCCCAGAGAACUUGGAGGUGGGCCAGUCACAUAAAGAACCAGAACCCAGCAAAUGGGAGGAGGCGCAGGCUCCUGUACGUUUCGCAGAAUGAGCUGGUGAAUGACCGAUGUAGAUGGGCAUGGGAAGAAGUGAUAUAGAGAUGAUCCAACCACAGUCUAGUGGGCACCAGCAGUUUCUGUUCCUGCCCCCUUUCCAGCUUAAUUGAGGAGGAACUUGGGGAAACAAAAUGUCAGAAUUACAUCAAGUCACAAACCAACACUACGACAUCCAUCCUCUGCCCUCUCCUGGAAGUUUCCCAGUGGUGCUGACUUUGAAAUGGAUGGACUUCCGCAGACCCAGAAGUAGAAGGGAAUGUAUGUUGCCUGAACA